AUUAGGAAUAUACUUAUUUCUUCCCGCCAAUUCCAUAGCGAGAAAAUUCUCGUCUAUUUAUCGCUACACACAUUUGGGGGAAAGAGAGAGAAUCACAAAGAUGGAGUUGAGUCUCAGCGGAAACGCGCUGAAAACCUUCGCUCGCUCCAUCACGUGCCUCUCACGUAUCGGCAACGAGCUUGCUAUCCAAGCUUCUCCUUCUCAGCUUUCGCUCCACACGCUACAUUCAUCACGAUCUGCGUACCAGUGUAUUACAUUUAAGGCGAGUUUCUUUGAUGUGUAUACAGUUUCCGGUACCGAAGUCAAAUUCAGUGUGCUUCUGAAGGCGAUUUGUUCGGUUCUUAGGACGCCAAUUGCAGGUGUUGAUCAUCUGAGUGUGCAUUUGCCUGAUCCGGAUGCUUCUAAAGUGAAAUGGACUUUGGAAUGCUUCAAUGGUAUGAGAAAAUCCUAUUGGAUUACUUGCAAUGUUGAGCCGGACAUUCAACGUCUGUCUCUUGACAGGAGAAGAUAUCCAAGCAGCUUAGUUGUGAGACCUCAUGAUCUUAACAGACUGCUUGCCAAUUUUCAGUCAUCACUCCAGGAGAUCACCAUCAUUGCAACAGAACGUGCAUCCAUGGCUUCUGACACUGAAAAUGAAAUAGGAGGAAAAGCUGUUGAACUUAGAAGUUACAUAGACCCAACCAAGGACAACGACUCUUCACUGCACACUCAGCUGUGGAUAGAUCCAGCUGAAGAAUUUGUCCAGUAUACUCACAGUGGAGACCCUGUGGAUGUGACAUUUGGUGUGAAGGAACUGAAGGCAUUUCUUUCUUUCUGCGAGGGUUGCGAAGUUGAUAUUCAUAUAUAUCUUGAAAAGGCUGGAGAGCCUAUUUUAAUGGCACCAAAAUUUGGUCUGGAUGAUGGAUCGAGCUCAAACUUCGAUGCUACUCUUGUACUUGCAACCAUGCUUAUAUCACAGCUCCAUGAAGGAAAUCGACCAGAACCUCCACAAGCCACGGCACAUGGUCAGGCUGCAGAUGGGACAGGGUCGCAAGGACAACAAGAGAGAUGUGGAGUCAAUGUAUCUGAACAUCCAUCUGAUCACACCAGAAUUUGGUCUGAACUUUCAGGAAGUGCAGCAAGAAGUGGUAGUGGUGGUGGUGCUGAAGCAAGGCAGGCUCCAGGAGAAAGAGACUUGAAUGCUAAUGAACAGAGGGAAAUCCAAAGGAUCAGCACAAUGCAUAUAUCCAAAGACACAUCUGCUAGAGAAAAUGUUGCUGUGAAUCCUAGUCUCGGCCAUCCUGUGCAAAAAGAUCAUGCAAAAGAAGCCCAAGAGAGAUCAGAAACUAAUGCACAUAGUUUUUCACAACGUCAUCCUAGUAACUGGGUGGACGCUGAUGAGGAUGAGGAUGAGGAUGAUGAUGGUGAUGCAGAUGGAAAUGAAUUGUGUGUUCAGUCAACACCGCCUUACUAUGAAGAACAGUAGACUAUGGAUUUCCUUGUCCCAGUGACAGUUUGCGUUCUACCUUUAUACUGUUGUUCCCGGAGAAAUCACAUAGCUUGCCCUCCUGUGCACCAAGCUCUCAAUCAGCACAGCUCGGAACCGAACACGAGAUAAGUUGAUCGUGCAUAUUUUCAGCGGCUCUGUAAAUACACUUGGGAGUCGAACUGCCACCAGAAGGAAUAAAGUAUCCCAUGUUAGACAGAUUUCUUGAUACAUUUUCCAGUCAAGUAAGAUUCUGUAGUCUCUCAACUGUUCACAGACACCAAGGAAGUAGACGGCAAGUAGUAAUAUUCAACUUUGUUCAGUUCCGCUAUGUUUGUUGUUGUGAUGGGCUAGAUGUUAACAUAAUUGAAAGUGUUUGUUAAAUCAACACAUCAUAAUUUUGCUUUGAA